CUCACCCUGACAUGACCUUGGGAAUACAGCUCCCUGAAGCAGGAGUUCUUCCCACUCUGCUUUAGAGUAUUCAGGCUCCAACUAUAAGGUGAUACUGAAGCUGCAGCUCUCCUGGAGACCUUACUUGGAGAACUACCGCCCUAUUGGAAGAAAAGCCUGGAGAAUAUUCUUCCCUACUCUGUAUUGCUGAUCUGUGGAAAGGCCUGAAGAUCCUCACACAGCUGUUGUCAAAGAAUGAUU